GAUGAACGCUGGCGGCGUGCUUAACACAUGCAAGUCGAGCGAAGCACUUAUGAAAGAUUCUUCGGAUGAUUUCAUUUGUGACUGAGCGGCGGACGGGUGAGUAACGCGUGGGUAACCUGCCUCAUACAGGGGGAUAACAGUUGGAAACGACUGCUAAUACCGCAUAAGCGCACAGUACCGCAUGGUACAGUGUGAAAAACUCUGGUGGUAUGAGAUGGACCCGCGUCUGAUUAGCUAGUUGGUGGGGUAACGGCCUACCAAGGCGACGAUCAGUAGCCGACCUGAGAGGGUGAUCGGCCACAUUGGGACUGAGACACGGCCCAAACUCCUACGGGAGGCAGCAGUGGGGAAUAUUGCACAAUGGGGGAAACCCUGAUGCAGCAACGCCGCGUGAGUGAAGAAGUAUUUCGGUAUGUAAAGCUCUAUCAGCAGGGAAGAAAAUGACGGUACCUGACUAAGGAGCCCCGGCUAACUACGUGCCAGCCGCCGCAGUAA
rnacentral:rRNA from 1 species